CACCAGCGCCACGAGUGGCAACCGCGUUUAUUGGGCCUAAAGCGUCCGUAGCCGGUUUAAUAAAUCUCUUGUGAAAUCGUCAGGCUUAACCUGACGGCGUGCUUGAGACACUGUUAAACUCGAGACCGGGAGGAGUCAAAGGUAUUCCAGGGGGAGCGGUAAAAUGUGAUAAUCCCUGGAGGAUCACCUAUGGCGAAGGCAUUUGACCAGAACGGAUCUGACGGUGAGGGACGAAGGCCAGGGGAGCGAUCCGG
rnacentral:rRNA from 1 species